UACGUAGGGAGCAAGCGUUGUCCGGAAUCAUUGGGCGUAAAGCGCGCGUAGGUGGCCUCAUAAGUCCGCUGUGAAAGUCAAAGGCUCAACCUUUGAAAGCCGGUGGAUACUGUGAGGCUAGAGUACGGAAGAGGCGAGUGGAAUUCCUGGUGUAGCGGUGGAAUGCGCAGAUAUCAGGAGGAACACCAAUAGCGAAGGCAGCUCGCUGGGACGUUACUGACACUGAGGCGCGAAAGCAUGGGGAUCAAACAGG
rnacentral:rRNA from 1 species